rnacentral:lncRNA from 1 species
AUGUGGCUGGCGCCUCCAGUCAGACCUGCCGCGCCCUCCUGCCCGCGCGCUGCCCGAGGGAUGCGGGGCUGGACGCCCGCCCUGGGCCCCAGGACGAGGCGGACAGAGGGCCCGGGUGACAGUCCGAUUUCUCUGUCCCCGAGGCAGGCAGUCAGCCCCCGGCAAUCCUGGACCGGCGAGGCCGAACAGGCUUCGCGAACGCACCUCCGCCCGACUUAUUUUGAAAAACUUCAGGAAAACCAUCAGCACAUCGAGCCCAAAUUGCAAGGCUGGCCCGGGGGCGCCCGCGCGCUCGGACCCACCCGCAGCGCGGACGGACAGUUCCCAUCCACCCCGGGUCCUCAGUCCCCGCCCCGAGCCCCGCUCACUCACGCGCGCCGGGCCAGACCUCGCGGCCAGCCGCGUCGCGGGCCGGGGCAGCCGCAUGGUCGCUGGGAGCUCGCGUGCGCCAAGGCGCAGGAGCCGCGUCCGUGUCGGGGUCCCGCCGGGCGGAAAGCGCCGCGGAGCAGGUCGGCGAGGCCAAGCCGAGGCGGGCGGCGGACGUGCGGCCGCGGGCAGGAGCCCGGCAAGGCCCGCCCCGGGGCGGGGACCGCAGGACCCGGGGGCCUGGCCACGAAGCCGGAGACAUUCCCCCCACCCCCACCCCCACCUCCUCGGAGGGAGCUGCUCUGGGGCCGAGCGGGAGAGGCGAGCGGGUGCCCAGAGCCAGCAGGGCAUGGCCACGGCCAAGGCCAAGAUAGGAAUCGGCAGAGGGCGGCGAUCCAGGGGCGCGCUUACCCGGCUUCGGAGGCGCCUUCGAAAGUACGCGCUGGCCGGGAGCAUCCCGGCGCAAAUCCGGGCGCCCCGCGUGGUCCUCCGCCCGCCGCGCGCCCUCCCUUCUGCCUCCUUCGGGGAACCUCGGCUUGGAUUAACGCCUUACUCUUUACCUCUGCUGAGCGGCUCCGCUCCGGCGGCGGCUCCGAGGUUGGGCUCCCACGGGGUCUGCGCGCGUCCUUCCGGGCGCCCCGGGCUGGAGAGGCCCACGUGAGGCUCCUCCGCCCUCCCCGGCACUCGGAGGACUGGCGCUGCCCGGAGCCGAGAACCUCAUCGCCCCUCCAGGUGCUGGCACUGGGGGCAGGUGCCGAGCGUCCUGAUUGGCGCUGGCCCGCAUCCUGGGAGAAUCCCCAGCUAGAGAGGCUGCCUGCUCCAGGG